rfam:Rattus norvegicus chromosome 7, whole genome shotgun sequence.
GGGGAUUUAGCUCAGUGGUAGAGCGCUUGCCUAGCAAACAUAAGGCCCUGGGUUCGGUCCCCAGCUCCG